ACUGUCCUGAUGUCUGGGCCUCUCGGCCAGUGUUCCAGCGAUUUGCUGAUCAUUACUGGACUGGGUGAGACACGACUUAUUAACAAGUUUCAGUUUGAGGCUGUGAAUUGGCGGCAUAAUGGUCUUGCCCCAUCUCUGUCCCACGAUCAAAGUUCGGGAGCUGAGAAGCUGUGACCAAACAUGGCUCCCGCCCACGUCUUUCUCAUCUCUGCUCUUUCAGAAAUAGGCAGCGUUUCAUCAAAGAGCUUUCUUAGUUGAUGCCACUAUUGGCAAGAAAAACAUCCCCCUCUGUCUGAGAAGAAUGAUCAACUAAACUGAAGGUGCAACUCCUGGGCCUUAAGGGUCCAUACUGAACAGAGAAGAAGAAGAAACCGAAUCACCAAGGUGACGGGUGCUGUAGGCUGAUUACAUUUCUAGCUUGUGAGAAAAUAAAGAACUGCAUAGCUCGUCUUUA